GACGAACGCUGGCGGCGUGCCUAAUACAUGCAAGUUGAGCGCUGAAGGUUGGUACUUGUACCAACUGGAUGAGCAGCGAACGGGUGAGUAACGCGUGGGGAAUCUGCCUUUGAGCGGGGGACAACAUUUGGAAACGAAUGCUAAUACCGCAUAAAAACUUUAAACACAAGUUUUAAGUUUGAAAGAUGCAAUUGCACCACUCAAAGAUGAUCCCGCGUUGUAUUAGCUAGUUGGUGAGGUAAAGGCUCACCAAGGCGAUGAUACAUAGCCGACCUGAGAGGGUGAUCGGCCACAUUGGGACUGAGACACGGCCCAAACUCCUACGGGAGGCAGCAGUAGGGAAUCUUCGGCAAUGGACGAAAGUCUGACCGAGCAACGCCGCGUGAGUGAAGAAGGUUUUCGGAUCGUAAAACUCUGUUGGUAGAGAAGAACGUUGGUGGGAGUGGAAAGCUCAUCAAGUGACGGUAACUACCCAGAAAGGGACGGCUAACUACGUG
rnacentral:rRNA from 1 species